AGUGAACGCUGGCGGUAGGCCUAACACAUGCAAGUCGAACGGCAGCACAGUAAGAGCUUGCUCUUACGGGUGGCGAGUGGCGGACGGGUGAGGAAUACAUCGGAAUCUACUUUUUCGUGGGGGAUAACGUAGGGAAACUUACGCUAAUACCGCAUACGACCUACGGGUGAAAGCAGGGGAUCUUCGGACCUUGCGCGAUUGAAUGAGCCGAUGUCGGAUUAGCUAGUUGGCGGGGUAAAGGCCCACCAAGGCGACGAUCCGUAGCUGGUCUGAGAGGAUGAUCAGCCACACUGGAACUGAGGCACGGUCCAGACUCCUACGGGAGGCAGCAGUGGGGAAUAUUGGACAAUGGGCGCAAGCCUGAUCCAGCCAUACCGCGUGGGUGAAGGAGGCCUUCGGGUUGUAAAGCCCUUUUGUUGGGAAAGAAAAGCAGCAGGUUAAUACCCCGCUGUUCUGACGGUACCCAAAGAAUAAGCACCGGCUAACUUCGUG
rnacentral:rRNA from 1 species